rnacentral:rRNA from 1 species
UACGUAGGUGGCAAGCGUUGUCCGGAAUUAUUGGGCGUAAAGCGCGCGCAGGCGGUCCUUUAAGUCUGAUGUGAAAGCCCACGGCUCAACCGUGGAGGGUCAUUGGAAACUGGGGGACUUGAGUGCAGGAGAGAAGAGUGGAAUUCCACGUGUAGCGGUGAAAUGCGUAGAGAUGUGGAGGAACACCAGUGGCGAAGGCGACUCUUUGGCCUGUAACUGACGCUGAGGCGCGAAAGCUAGGGUAGCAAACGGG